UUAUUUCUUUUACAUUUCUAGAGAGUAAAGUUCCUUCUGUCUUUCCCGCAACUCAACUAUGCUCUCGCUUUGAAUCUUUCUAAAAACUAUACAUCCAUAAAACAACUGUUAACAAGUUCUGCUGAGGAGAUUGCUCAAAAGGGGAAAACAUCUGCGGCCCUUGCUAACAAAAUUCAUGCCUAUAUGCACCACCAAAGCUCCAAAGAUAUGUGAUAAAUUAAAAAAGGAAAAAAAAAAGAUAUAUAUUUUGUUAUUUUUUGAAAUAAAUUAUUUUAUAUUGUU
rnacentral:lncRNA from 1 species